rnacentral:misc_RNA from 1 species
UCAAUGCUAGUUUCUUGCAAUAAUCUGGUUGAUUUGAGGUUAAGAGGUUGCAAAGGACUUACUAGUUUAGCAAUUCUUUCUAUGUUCAAGAGUUGCAAGAGAUUGGAAAAUGUUGAUAUUAUACAUUGUUGUGGGAUUGAGGCUGAGGCUAUUGAAUUCUUCGUUCUUAAUUCACCGCGAUUGAGACGAAUGCAGGUUGAGGAAAGCAAGGUUUCUGAUGUUGCAAGGACAUGGGCGUCACAUAAACUCAUUGAGGUUGUUGCUUCAUUCAUGAACUAAAGAAGAAUUGGUUUUCCUUUUUUUUUU